AUGACAUAAAACACACGAUUACAGUUGACAAUGAAAAUGUUUGGAAUGAGUAUGUUAAUGCCCAUAAAGAAGCAAGACAACUUCGACUCAAGGUGAUUGCAAACUGGGAUGAUAUAGUGAACUUGUGUGCUAAAGAUAGAGCCACUUGACAUGAAGUUGAGACUGUUAUGGAUGCUGAUGAGGUCAUGAGCAGAUAAAUAAAUGAAGGGGGAAUUAGGUUUAGAGGGUGAUAGUGUUACCAUAUAUUUAGAUGAACCUAGCUUUACUACACAAAGAAGGGGUUAAUCUUCAACUUCUACUAGCACACAAUCUCAGAGGAGAAAGAAGGGGAAAAAAGAUGAAAAAUCUAAUUCAUUGAAAGAAGUGGCUGAAUCUUUAAAGAGACUUGUUCAAGCAUUUGAUAUUGCGGUUGAUGAAAAUGCUUUUAUUUAAGAAGUGUCAGCUGAGGCAUCUUUGAUACCAAACCUUAAUCAACAUCAAUGGGUCAAAGCUGUUAAAUGGUUAUUUGACACUCCAAAGCAAUUAGCUAUUGUGAAAGCCCUUCCAAUUAAGAAAAAAGGUUUGGAGCUUUUAUGUAUUUCAUGAAUACUUGGAAGUUACCAUUAGG